GCUUACGGCCACACCGCCUGGUUCACGCCCGAUCUCGUUUGAUCUCGGAAGCUAAGAUAGGUUGGGCCUGGUUAGUACUUGAAAAGGAGACCGCCUGGGAAUACCAGGUGCUGUAAAGC
rnacentral:rRNA from 1 species